GACUAGAGAUCCAAAGCGGGUGCGAGACCCGUACGUAUUGCCUGUUUGUCGUACGCGUUUGCUUCUUGGAGUAGGGUUGUUUGAGAUCGCAGCCCAAAGCAGGUGGUAUACUUCAUCUAAAGCUAAAUACGACUACGAAUCCGAUAGCAAACAAGUACCGUGAGGGAAAGUUGCAAAGUACUUUGAAGAGAGAGUUCAAGAGGACGUGAAACCGAUAGGAUGGAAGCAGAUGAAGUUGACGAACGAGUGUCGUAUUCAGGGUUGCAUCUUGUGUGCGGUCUGUUCUUGCGGCCGAUGUGGGCCGGCGGCUUUGGUCAAUGCACUGUGUCAAGCGUCGAUGGAGACCCUGCGGAGGGAUAAUCAGUCGGCGUGCGAUGCGUGGUAUGGCUAAGGUUUCUUCGCCGGUCUUGAAGUCAGCGCCUCAUCUGACCCGUCUUGAAACACGGACCAAGGAGUGUAUCGCUUACGCAAGUCUUAGAGUGUAUCAAAACUUUGAGGCGCAACGAAAGUGAAUGUAGCUUGAUCUACUGAAUUGGGAUGCGUUGUCUCUUGUGGACGGCGCUGGACCAUAGUUAUAUCGCGAUCGCUUGCGAUGCGGUGUAAACAGAGCGUAAGCGGUGCGACCCGAAAGAUGG
rnacentral:rRNA from 1 species